CCUACGGGGGGCUGCAGUGGGGAAUAUUGGACAAUGGGGGCAACCCUGAUCCAGCCAUGCCGCGUGUGUGAAGAAGGCCCUCGGGUUGUAAAGCACUUUCAGUGAGGAAGAACGCCUGUUGGUUAAUACCCAUCAGGAAAGACAUCACUCACAGAAGAAGCACCGGCUAACUCCGUGCCAGCAGCCGCGGUAAUACGGAGGGUGCGAGCGUUAAUCGGAAUUACUGGGCGUAAAGCGCGCGUAGGUGGCUUGAUAAGCCGGUUGUGAAAGCCCCGGGCUCAACCUGGGAACGGCAUCCGGAACUGUCUAGCUAGAGUGCAGGAGAGGAAGGUAGAAUUCCCGGUGUAGCGGUGAAAUGCGUAGAGAUCGGGAGGAAUACCAGUGGCGAAGGCGGCCUUCUGGACUGACACUGACACUGAGGUGCGAAAGCGUGGGUAGCAAACAGGAUUAGAUACCCUGGUAGUC
rnacentral:rRNA from 1 species